UGGGGGAUAUUGCACAAUGGGCGAAAGCCUGAUGCAGCGACGCCGCGUGGGGGAUGAAGGCCUUCGGGUUGUAAACUUCUUUUGCUCUGAACAAGGCAUGCCUUUGGGGUGUGUUGAGUGUAGGGGUUGAUUAGCGCCGGCUAACUACGUGCCAGCAGCCGCGGUAAUACGUAGGGCGCGAGCGUUGUCCGGAAUUAUUGGGCGUAAAGGGCUUGUAGGUGGCUGGUUGCGUCUGUCGUGAAAGCUCAUGGCUUAACUGUGGGUUUGCGGUGGGUACGGGCUGGCUUGAGUGCAGUAGGGGGGGCUGGAAUUCCUGGUGUAGCGGUAGAAUGCGCAGAUAUCAGGAGGAAUACCGGUGGCGAAGGCGGGUCUCUGGGCUGUUACUGACGCUGGGGAGCGAAAGCGUGGGGAGCGAACAGG
rnacentral:rRNA from 1 species